CCUACGGGAGGCAGCAGUAGGGAAUAUUGCUCAAUGGAGGAAACUCUGACGCAGCAACGCCGCGUGGAGGAUGAAGGUCUUCGGAUUGUAAACUCCUGUUGUUAGAGAAGAUAAUGACGGUAUCUAACGAAUAAGCACCCGCUAACUACUUGCCAGCAGCCGCCGUAAUACGGAGGGGGCAAGCGUUACUCGGAAUGACUGGGCGGAAAGAGCGCGUAGGCGGGAUAGCAAGUCAGAGGUGAAAUCCUAUGGCUUAACCAUCGAACUGCAGUUGAAACUGUUAUUCUAGAGUAUGGGAGAGGUAGGUGGAAUUCUUGGUGUAGGGGUAGAAUCCGUAGAGAUUAAGAGGAAUA
rnacentral:rRNA from 1 species